GAUCCUGGCCAGGAUGAACGCUAGCUACAGGCUUAACACAUGCAAGUCGAGGGGCAGCAUGGUCUUAGCUUGCUAAGGCCGAUGGCGACCGGCGCACGGGUGAGUAACGCGUAUCCAACCUGCCUUACACUCUUGGACAGCCUUCUGAAGGGAGAUUAAUACAAGAUGUUAUCAUGAGUAAGCAUUUUCGUCAUGAUACUAAAGGUUUAACCGGUGUAAGAGUGGGAGUGCGUU
rnacentral:rRNA from 1 species